rnacentral:rRNA from 1 species
AGAGAGCGGCGGACGGGUGAGUAACGCGUGGGUAACCUGCCCUGUACACACGGAUAACAUACUGAAAGGUAUGCUGAUACGGGAUGACAUAUGAAAGUCGCAUGGCUUUUAUAUCAAAGCUCCGGCGGUACAGGAUGGACCCGCGUCUGAUUAGCUAGUUGGUAAGGUAACGGCUUACCAAGGCAACGAUCAGUAGCCGACCUGAGAGGGUGAUCGGCCACACUGGAACUGAGACACGGUCCAGACUCCUACGGGAGGCAGCAGUGGGGAAUAUUGCACAAUGGGCGAAAGCCUGAUGCAGCAACGCCGCGUGAGCGAUGAAGGCCUUCGGGUCGUAAAGCUCUGUCCUCAAGGAAGAUAAUGACGGUACUUGAGGAGGAAGCCCCGGCUAACUACGUGCCAGCAGCCGCGGUAAUACGUAGGGGGCUAGCGUUAUCCGGAAUUACUGGGCGUAAAGGGUGCGUAGGCGGUCUUUCAAGCCAGAAGUGAAAGGCUACGGCUCAACCGUAGUAAGCUUUUGGAACUGUAGGACUUGAGUGCAGGAGAGGAGAGUAGAAUUCCUAGUGUAGCGGUGAAAUGCGUAGAUAUUAGGAGGAAUACCAGUAGCGAAGGCGGCUCUCUGGACUGUAACUGACGCUGAGGCACGAAAGCGUGGGGAGCAAACAGGAUUAGAUACCCUGGUAGUCCACGCCGUACGAUGAGUACUAGGUGUCGGGGGUUACCCCCCUCGGUGCCGCAGCUAACGCAUGUACUCCGCCUGGGAAAGUACGCUCAAGAGUGAAACUCAAAUUGACGGGGGACCCGCACAAGUAGGAGCAUGUGGGUUUAAUU